GACGAACGCUGGCGGCGUGCCUAAUACAUGCCAGUAGAACGCACAGUUUAUACCGUAGCUUGCUACACCAUAGACUGUGAGUUGCGAACGGGUGAGUAACGCGUAGGUAACCUGCCUGGUAGCGGGGGAUAACUAUUGGAAACGAUAGCUAAUACCGCAUAAUAUUGAUUAUUGCAUGAUAAUUGAUUGAAAGAUGCUAUUGCAUCACUACCAGAUGGACCUGCGUUGUAUUAGCUAGUAGGUGAGGUAACGGCUCACCUAGGCGACGAUACAUAGCCGACCUGAGAGGGUGAGCGGCCACACUGGGACUGAGACACGGCCCAGACUCCUACGGGAGGCAGCAGUAGGGAAUCUUCGGCAAUGGACGAAAGUCUGACCGAGCAACGCCGCGUGAGUGAAGAAGGGUUUCGGAUCGUAAAGCUCUGUUGUAAGAGAAGAACGGGUGUGAGAGUGGAAAGUUCACACUGUGACGGUAUCUUACCAGAAAGGGACGGCUAACUACGUG
rnacentral:rRNA from 1 species